rnacentral:rRNA from 1 species
AAGAAAUAUUUUUAAUAAAAUAAUUAUAAUAAUAAAUAGAAAUUUAAUACAAAAUUUUGUAUUUUUUACCUUUUGUAUAAGUGUUUAAUGAAAAAGUUGUUAUAUUAACAUUUUCCGAAUUUAACAGAUAAAAAAUAUAAAAAAUAAUAAAACGUAGCAUAGUUGUAUUUUUAUUAUAUUUUAGGAAUGAAAAAUUUUCAAUGUUAAAGAUAACUGGAUAUUAUAUAAAAGUAUUUAGUACUAAAGUCAAUUAUAAGGUGUUUAGAUCUUAUAAUAAUAGAAUUUUCAUUAAUUUUUUUUUAUAAAAAAUAAUUUUUUAAUAAAUAAAAGAGAUUAUUAUUAAUUAUGAAAAAGAAUCUUUUUAUUAUAUAAUUUUUUAAUUUAAUUUUUUUAAAAAAUAUUUAUGUUAAAAUUAGUAAUUUUUAAAAAUAUUUUUUAGGAAUUCGGCAAAAAAAAUUUCAACUGUUUAUCAAAAACAUAGUUUUAAGUAGAUAUUUAAAAUGAAUCCUGCCCAGUGUAUAUAUAAAUGGCCGCAGUACCUUGACUGUGCUAAGGUAGCAUAAUCAAUUGUCUUUUAAUUAGAGUCUGGAAUGAAUGGAUAAAUGAAGUUUUACUGUCUUAAUAAUAUUAAUUUGAAUUUAUUUAUAAGGUGAAAAUACCUUAUACUAGAAAAAAGACGAGAAGACCCUUAGAAUUUUUAAAAAUGUUAAUUUGUUUAAAUUAUUUUUUUGUUGGGGCGACAAAUAAGCAUUUAAACCUUAUAUUACUUAUGGUACGAAUUUUUUAGAAAAAAUUAAAUUACCUUAGGGAUAACAGCAUAAUUAUUUAUUUAGUUUGUGACCUCGAUGUUGGACUAGGAACUUUAUGACUAACCGUCAAAAAAGAUUUGUUCUGUUCGAACAAUUUUAUCCUACAUGAUCUGAGUUCAGACCGGCGUAAGCCAGGUCAGUUUCUAUCUUUUUUUUUAUACUUAUAGUACGAAAGGACCUAAGUAUAUUUU